rnacentral:tRNA from 1 species
UCCCUAAUGGCUCAGAUGGUAAAGAAUCUGCCUGCAAUGCAGGAGACCCAGGUUCGAACCCUGGGUUGGAAA